CUAGGUUGGGGGGUAGGUGAAGGUGGGGGGUUCUAUUUUGGAAGAGGAAUAGAAUCUCAUUCAUGUGUUCAUGCUAACAGAAGAGCGGAUCCAAUACACAUAAGACUCUUUUAUCUUGAAAUUCCGAAUGUAAAUGAUUCAAACCGUUGAAGUAUUUUCUUACCUGUUGUAUAGAAGUCUUCGUUUCAGUCCUCCUAGUGGCCAUUGCUCCUAGUAUGAGUAGUUGUGAUGGGCUGCGAGUUCCCCUUGAGGGGGUGACGAGCCUUUAGCAUCCAGAUUGGGCAAUACGAGAUAGAUUGAUUUACUUCGAGGAUAGUCUUUCUUUUCCAAGCGAGAAAGUGCAAGUGUUUCUAUUUUCACAAGUGAAGAUAUUGAAAAGCAUAUCCGAAAGCAAAGAAAUAUUACCUGGGCGUACGUAGCCCUUCUUGUUUUUGAAUCACGGAAAUGCGGAGG
rnacentral:lncRNA from 1 species